GUAGGUGGCAAGCGUUGUCCGGAAUUAUUGGGCGUAAAGCGCGCGCAGGCGGUCCUUUAAGUCUGAUGUGAAAGCCCACGGCUCAACCGUGGAGGGUCAUUGGAAACUGGGGGACUUGAGUACAGAAGAGGAAGGCGGAAUUCCAAGUGUAGCGGUGAAAUGCGUAGAGAUUUGGAGGAACACCAGUGGCGAAGGCGGCUUUCUGGUCUGUAACUGACGCUGAGGCGCGAAAGCGUGGGGAGCAAACAGGGAUUAGAUACCCUGGUAGUCCACGCCGUAAACGAUGAGUGCUAAGUGUUAGGGGGUUUCCGCCCCCUUAGUGCUGCAGCUAACGCAUUAAGCACUCCGCCUGGGGAGUACGGCCGCAAGGCUG
rnacentral:rRNA from 1 species